rnacentral:rRNA from 1 species
GAAAUGCGAUAAGUAAUGUGAAUUGCAGAAUUCAGUGAAUCAUCGAAUCUUUGAACGCACCUUGCGCUCCUUGGCAUUCCGAGGAGUAUGCCUGUUUGAGUGUCAUUAACAUCUCAAGACCCUGUCUGCUUUUGAUAGGUAUUGGAUUUUGGGGGUUUGCAGGCUGUUUCAGAUAGCUUGCUCUCCUUGAAUGUAUUAGUGGAGAAAAAAGCCAUUGAACUCCAUUGGUAUGAUAAAUCUAUCAAUGCCAGGAGCAAUGAAUAUAAUUCUCUCUGCUGUCUAACCAUGGAUGGAUGGACAACUUGACCAACUUGACCUCAAAUCAGGUAGGACUACCCGCUGAACUUAA